CCUACGGGGGGCAGCAGUGGGGAAUAUUGCACAAUGGGGGAAACCCUGAUGCAGCGACGCCGCGUGAGUGAAGAAGUAUUUCGGUACGUAAAGCUCUAUCAGCAGGGAAGAAAGAAAUGACGGUACCUGACUAAGAAGCCCCGGCUAACUACGUGCCAGCAGCCGCGGUAAUACGUAGGGGGCAAGCGUUAUCCGGAUUUACUGGGUGUAAAGGGAGCGUAGACGGUUACGCAAGUCAGAUGUGAAAACUCAGGGCUCAACCCUGAGCCUGCAUUUGAAACUGUGUUUCUUGAGUGCUGGAGAGGCAAUCGGAAUUCCGUGUGUACCGGUGAAAUGCGUAGAUAUACGGAGGAACACCAGUGGCGAAGGCGGAUUGCUGGACAGUAACUGACGCUGAGGCGCGAAAGCGUGGGGAGCAAACAGGAUUAGAUACCCUUGUAGUC
rnacentral:rRNA from 1 species